UAAUACGUAGGGUGCGAGCGUUGUCCGGAAUUAUUGGGCGUAAAGAGCUUGUAGGCGGUUUGUCGCGUCUGCGGUGAAAACCCGGGGCUUAACCUUGGGCGUGCCGUGGGUACGGGCAGGCUAGAGUGUGGUAGGGGAGACUGGAAUUCCUGGUGUAGCGGUGAAAUGCGCAGAUAUCAGGAGGAACACCGAUGGCGAAGGCAGGUCUCUGGGCCAUAACUGACGCUGAGAAGCGAAAGCAUGGGGAGCGAACAGG
rnacentral:rRNA from 1 species